rnacentral:rRNA from 1 species
GACGGGGGGGGCAAGUGUUCCUCGGAAUGACUGGGCGUAAAGGGCACGUAGGCGGUGAAUCGGGUUGAAAGUCAAAGUCGCCAAAAACUGGCGGAAUGCUCUCGAAACCAAUUCACUUGAGUGAGACAGAGGAGAGUGGAAUUUCGUGUGUAGGGGUGAAAUCCGUAGAUCUACGAAGGAACGCCAAAAGCGAAGGCAGCUCUCUGGGUCCCUACCGACGCUGGGUGCGAAAGCAUGGGGAGCGAACAGG